GUCUCGGAAAAAAAAAAAAAAAAAAACUUGGAAGGACAUAACUUAGAAUAAGGCUGAUCCUCAGGUUUUUAUUGUUGUUGGGUAUGGAGGUAUAAUACCCAUGAUCCCAUCAGAAAGAUCAGGAUCCAGGAUUCCUCAGGUAUCUUUUGAGUUUGAGAACAGCCUGAGUUACAUUUCUGAGUUUCUUUUCUCAAAAGAAAAAAAAAGGUUUUAUUACAAACUGUGUAGAGAGUAGAAAUAUACUAGCACAACUUUAGAUCCUAGAGUCCUCAGUUUGUGGGUUCUGGGUAUAAUCUCAGGAUGAUGCCUUGGGCUGAUCUGACUGCAGGGAGCUGAGCCUGCAAUUCCAUCUUUGUGAACCAUUCUGUCCCAGAGUGGCCAUGCAGCUGCAGACAGACACACUGCCGUGUUUGUAUACAAUGUGGCAGAGUGACUAUUUUUAUAACACGGAAAUGCCUUACAGAGAAUCACAUCUAUCUAGUCUUUUAGAAAUGCCAUGAUGAUCUGGGUGUGGUGGUGCUCACCUGUAGUCCUAGUACCUAGGAGGCCAUGGCAAGACUGUCUCAAGUUUGAGGUCAGCCUAGGCCACACAAGUGAAUACCAGGCCAGUGGUGUGCAUGCCUGUAAUCCUAGCACUUAGGAAGAGGAGUUUAGCUGAGCUUCGUACAAAGACCUUGUCUCAAAGCAGGAAGCAAACAGAAACUUGAGGUGAGGCUGACUUUUGUGCCAUAUUCUUGGACUGGAGCCAAGUUACUGUUUCUAACCUGCUGGGCUCCCUGUCAAGAAGAAACAAGCUUUUCUGUUUACAAUGAUGUAACACGUGGACAUGUUUUUGGCCACCUUUGGACUGCUGUUACUGAUCUCCAACUUCAAAAGGCCUGCUGUGGCCUGCCCCAGCCUCCCCAGCCUACCUGGAAGAAGACAUGCACAGAACUGGAUACAAAAUAAUAAAGACAGUGGUGCAUUGUGAGACAUCACUUCCCUAAGUUUUCUUCUUGCCUGAGUGGUAGCAAACCGAGGUCAGAAUCGAGGCUCUGGAGUGGCCUGUGCAUGUAUUGCUUGCCUUCCAUACUGGAUGUGCAGGUUGAUGCCAACACACAAAAAUCAAAUUGGCUUUAAAUGCUGCUACCCACAAACAUAGGAGGAGGCUUUCUCAGUGCUGGAGAGCUUCAUCAGAAAUCCAGAGCCACAUCUGUGAUCCUUUCUGCCCCUGCAUUGCUGCCGAAACAAUUGCAGUGAGGAGAGACUGCACUUCUUCCCAAAGCCCCCAGCUCGAGUGGCUCCCGCCAUGUCCUAGCCACAGCCUCACCUGAGGAAGAUGAAGAUGGCCUUCUGAUAGGAGACCUCAUCCACCACAUCGUAAUAGUCUAGGAAAGGCUUGAUGGCAUCAAUGAGGCCAGCAUGCAUCUUGUCCAUCUCGUCAAAGAUGAAGAUGGAGCGAGCACAGGCGCUCACGUUGCCUCGAAUCCACAUCUGUAACUGGUCCUGAAGGACAAGGGAGCCCGUUCAGUGUAACCUCGGGCUUUGCCACCGAUGCCCAAGUUCUCUGAAAUAAUGACUCUAAGACUGAAGUAUAGAUGAAGACACACCCGGUCCCAGAGCUUUGGCUCUGUUCCCCAAUUAGUUCAUAUCUCAAUAACUGCUUUAUUUUAUUCUGUGAGUGCCACAUGGCAAGUUACCUCUCCUUCAGUUUCAUGUAUCCAUCUCCAUCUGUGGUCUGGGGCGAAUUUCCCAUGCUUCCAACUCUA